UAAGUCCAGUCUCAAAGCGAACGCAGAUGCGCGUUUACGCGAAAAUCUGCGGGUGCUUUAGAGACGACAACAUGUAUGAGUGUGUAGGGCGAUAGCCCGGAACACGAAUGCAUGUAGCAUGGCGAGAACGCGAAGCGUGAAGCCAUGCGUAGGACUUA
rnacentral:sRNA from 1 species